ACAUAGACAAUAAACUCUUGUCAAAUAUCAAACCUUCCUUUGGGCCGAUUUAAUAUUCAAAUAGAAAACCAAAUAAUUGUCUCAUAUUUAUCACCACAAGCAUGUUUGAAUUCCUGCCAAAUAACAACCUUCCUUUGGUCCGGUGUUAAACGUAUGGAAGACUAACAUCCACAGUCAUCUUAUAUUUCAAGAUUAAUCAAUCUACACAAUAGAGGUUACUUUGGCAACAUAAUGCUUCNNN
rnacentral:lncRNA from 1 species